rnacentral:rRNA from 1 species
GAGAUGGAUUGGUGCCUUCGGGAACUGUGAGACAGGUGCUGCAUGGCUGUCGUCAGCUCGUGUUGUGAAAUGUUGGGUUAAGUCCCGCAACGAGCGCAACCCUUAUCCUUUGUUGCCAGCGGUUAGGCCGGGAACUCAAAGGAGACUGCCAGUGAUAAACUGGAGGAAGGUGGGGAUGACGUCAAGUCAUCAUGGCCCUUACGACCAGGGCUACACACGUGCUACAAUGGCAUAUACAAAGAGAAGCGA